rnacentral:rRNA from 1 species
AAAUCUGGUUGAUCCUGCCAGAGGCGACCGCUUUUGGAGUUCGAUUAAGCCAUGCGAGUCGAGAGUCUUAGGGACUCGGCAUACUGCUCAGUAACACGUGGAUAACCUGCCCUAUCGUCUGGAAUAACCUCGGGAAACUGAGAAUAAGGCCGGAUAGUUCACAAUGCCUGGAACGGUUUGUGGAUUAAGGUAGGAUGGGUCUGCGGCGUAUCAGGUCGUAGGGGGUGUAACGGACCCCCUAGCCAUCGACGCGUACGGGUGUUGGGAGACAUAGCCCGGAGAUGGAUUCUGAGACACGAAUCCAGACCCUACGGGGUGCAGCAGGCGCGAAAACUU